rnacentral:tRNA from 2 species
GGGGCCAUAGUGAAAUGGGAUCACGCGACCAUGGCAUGGUUGAAUUCGGGGUUCGAAUCCCCGUGGCUCCA